UCCACCCUUUUUACCCGGAGCAACGUGGCACCACCGGGCUGCCGCCCGUGAGAGUCUAUGGCAACUCAAGCUUUAGCCCUUUAAACCAAGGUUGAAAUUUCUUCUGGAGACAGGGGUUCCCGCAGUCUCUGUUACUUACUGUCUUGUGUGUCCUGUGCCUUGCAUUCUUUCUUUAGGAUCCUGCUGAGGAGAGAAGUCUGCCAGAGGACCAACUUGAAAACUGCCUUCCUUGGUCGCUUCCUAACAGAUUCUGACAACCAUCCUGAAGGGGGCAGGUUCGUACCAUGUACCAGCUUGGAAAGAUGGCUUCAUCUUUGCUCCUGGGUAUAUUAUUGUUUCCGGCUAUGCUUAAUCUUAAAAGCAUGGGCAGUGAACCUAAUCUAAUAGGAGUGAAGUUUGUGGUCUUGCCUUAAGAUCAAAAGGUUAUGAAACAGACCACAGUAGGGGACAGCCAGUCCAGGAGAGUCACCGAUAGCAAUGUUGAUUGUCAUCAGAGAACCAAAUCAUCCCCUCGAUUAUAGCUGCUGCUUCGGUAUCCUGUCAGAUGAAUAUGCUGUUCCAGCCAAAGCCCAUUAAUUCAGGCCCACUUCCUUUCUAUGUGGGCCUCCCACUAGGAAUAAGAUUAAAUGUGGAGGCUUUGCUAAA